CAGUGGUAUAAACCCAGAGAAAGGGUCGGGGGCAUUUCAGUGAGGGCAGAGCUAGAAGGGUAACUGCAAAAGGAAGCUGCAAGGAGAGAGGUUCUCGUAGAGUGCUCAAGGAAGGGAGUUGGGGGAGGGUAAGAAGACCCAGUUGAAAGUUUUGUUCUUCCUUUAGAAGAAGGCAGGCCAGGCCUUACAUCUUCUCCCACUGGUCAGAGACCAGGAAGAGCGAGUACCUCAGGAAAAAAGGGCUAGGCCUAGCUUAUGGCUGGGUGGAACAUUUUUGUUGGAUUGGUUGCGUUUUACAACUUUGUGGUAAUUAAAACCAAAAAAACUGAACCCGAAAAGGGCUGCAAUUGGAUGAGAGAGACUGCGGGGAUGGGGGAUAAAGAAGACCUGAAGAAGGGCAAAACAGAGGCAGAACACAGCAGAGUGCCCCUCGCCAUGAGGGGGUGCUCAGAAGGCAGCUGGCUCUGUUAGAGGGAAGUAAAAGAAAAGGAAAUGAACUCUUAAGCUUUUGCAACUGCAAAGGAGAUCAGGCUAGCAUAUGGCAGCCCCUAGUCACUCUGCCUUCAUAAAAGGCUCCAAUAAUUAUCUCCUGCAACCCUACUGCCAGCUAAAGACACCCACACAGAUGCAGGGCUUCACAGUUUCAAGACAUUAUUCAAGAUUGAACAAUACGUGCUUUAGCUGAAAACACUGCACCCAGAUCCCUCUCUCAUUGCAAUGUGUUAAUAGUGCUAUUAGGUUGCGCCACAAAAAGGAAAAUGCUGUCUACAAACGGCAAUUUACUUUGAUUUAAAAGAAAAAAAGUUUAAAAGCACUGUUUGUGCUUCUAGGAAUGACAAUCCCCUGCUAAAACCCCUCACUAAGGGCAGCAGACACCACAGUGUAAGAACACAGUGUUGUGCGUAUCUCUCACACACACACACACAAAAAUCACUCAGCAUAAGAAAAGGAGGCAGGAGUGCCAAAAGAUAGGAAAUGUGAGUACUGUACUUGAUGCCACAAAAACAUUUUUUGAGAUUACUAUACAGAGUAUUUCCCCGGGCCAAACGUAUUCAGAAUGUGCUUAAAAGGGGAUCCUAGUAGCACAGCUCAAUGACAACCUGCCACAGUAACAAUAUUAAUUUGAAACAGGGCCAAGUUCCUGUUUAAACAUAUAAAUCACUAACACAGGCAGCCAGGACUUAGUGCAACUAGCAUGGAAGGGAGACAGUUCUCAUUUCUAAUCCCAGCCACGUCCCUGUCACCAAUUGCGUGUGGUCAUGAAAAAUCACUUCCUACCACUCCACCGUGUCUCAGAUUCUCCAUUAAUAAAAGAUGGGGAGGAGGUGUCUUCUGGGUGUGUAUGAGAGAGAAAUGCAUACAGAGUUCCCAGUGAAGUCAAUGCAAAGUCUUCCAUUGACGUCAGUGGGUGCUGGACUGGACUCUAAAUCCAAAAAGUAAGGAUUAGCCUUUGUACUGUGCUUUGAUAAUAGAAAUACUUAGCACUCUUCAAGUCCAAACUACUUUACAAAUAUCUAAUCAAUCUGCACAACAGCACCUCCAGACAGACUGGAUCCUCACUUUACAUACAGAGAAACGGACAGGAAGGUAAGCGACUUGCCCAAGAGAAGUCAAUUGCAAGGCUGGGUUUAGAACUCAAGACUUCAUCUUCUAAUCCUUUGCUCAAACCACUGGACCACACCUUCCUUUUAAGAUGCACAGCAUCAUUAACAACAAUAGAGAUUAUUAAUUAUGGUAACUGCAAUAGUUUAAAAAAAAACUAGAUGAGUUUCACCAUGAAGCUUGCUAACACAGAGCGCUUCUCACUCAAAGGAAUGGUAUCAAUUUGUAAUUUAGUCAGUUUAAAAACUUUUUAAACAUAGGUAAAAGUAGUUUCAGUCUUAAAAUGAAUUAGAAAUAGUUACACCUAUCCUUGAGUCCCCCUGCCAAAUGUUAUGAUUUCACAAUUACAUUUCCCCAUGUUUUCUUUGCCUUCCGUAUUUUUUGAGAAAUACCCAUACUAAGAGGAGACACCAAAAAUAGAAGAGAAGCAAUGUAACUGACUAUACAAAAAGCUGUGACAAAAGCACAAAGCAAACACUGAAACAAAGUUUUGUCUCUAAUCUCUUGCAGUUAGAGUCAUGAUCAUUUACUGCUAUUUUAACGGCAGGUGAAAAAUUGUCAACAAGGAGUGGGAUUAAGUAAAGUGACAUGUUAACUGAUUGUACAAAAGAGAGAGAUCAAAUCAGAACAAAAGUAUACUGUGCCCGCCUCCCAAACAAUGCUCAUUGUGAGCAAACAUGGGGUGCCAGGCUGCUGAGGAAACUGCUGUCCACAGUAGCACAAAGAGCAUACAGUGGGAAGAAAACUUAUGCGCAGGGACCUUGUGGUCCCCACAGCACAUACUGAGGUAUUAUACAAGUAUUUAAUUUUAAAAUAACCAUUUAAUGUCAACAUGCCAUUACAUGUUUCAUUUUCAUGUGUAUGUUUACAAGGGGAAACAUAACACCUGACAGCACAUAGUUUUGCUCAAAACAUUUUUUCUUGUUUUAAUAUGCAGAUUAGAAUAAAACACCAAGACGAUCAUACUUAUUUCUCACAUGAUCACUUCCAGGUCAUGCCAGCAUCAUAGCAUCAGGAUAUUGCCACAUGGAAGACUCAAGUUCUAUCCAAUGCAGGUACUUACACCACGCCCAUCAACAUAACACCCAAGUGCACUUCCAGGUUAAAAAACAUACAAGCUGACAAACAUCAAUGAAGUAAGGUUUCCUCUCCACUCCAGUGCCCCUUCUCCUAGGAUAGAUGUAUGAAGUUGUAUGUUAGGAUCUGUUUGGUUUUGAUUACCUAUCCAUACAAAGUGAUAUCUUAUGAGAGUGACUUUGAGAGAAAUGAGGGCAAAGGAGGUGCCCUCAUUUUUACAUUCGGACUAGAAAGUGCCAAGGCUCCUACAUAAAUGAGUUCCGGAGUUUUGAGCUUGUCCUCAAGAAAGCCCUGUCCCCAAACACAUGAGCUUCCCCAUUGCUGAGGACAGUUCCACUGCCCCUAAGCAGCAGGGCAGUUGAGAUCACUGAACCUCUGUGUGCUACACAAAUCCUGGAGCUAUA